UGGGGAAUAUUGCACAAUGGGCGAAAGCCUGAUGCAGCAACGCCGCGUGAGCGAUGAAGGCCUUCGGGUCGUAAAGCUCUGUCCUCAAGGAAGAUAAUGACGGUACUGAGGAGGAAGCCCCGGCUAACUAA
rnacentral:rRNA from 1 species